CCGCAAAGGUCUGCAGCUUCACUCCUGAAGACAGCGAGACCACGAACCCACCAGGAGGAACGAACAACUCCAGACGCACCGCCUUAAGAGCUGUAACACUCACUGAGAAGAUCUGCAGCUUCACUCCUGAGCCAGCGAGACGACGAACCCACCAGAAGGAAGAAACUCCAGACGCGCCACCUUAAGAGCUGUAACACCCACCGCCGGGGUCCGCGGCUUCAUUCUUGAAGUCUGAGACCAAGAACCCACCAAUUCCGGAUACACAAGCAAUGCUGAUUGCUUCACUUUGAAAGCUUUCCAGCCGGGUGCGGUGGCUCACACCUAUAAUCCCAGUACUUUCGGAGUCCGAGGCGGGCUGAUCACUUCAGUGUGAACAUCCUCAAACCACACAUCCUUGGAAAACCCCAUGGGAUCACUUCUACUCUCAUGAUGGUUGUCUUCUCUAGCAUCUUGUGGUUACAAAGCAUUUCAGAGGCAGAGUCUACUAUGUUGCCCAGGCUGGUCUUGAAUUCCGGGGCUCAAGUAAUCCUUCUGGCUUGGCCUUCCAAAGUGCUGAGAUUACAGGUAUGAGCAACUAUGCCUCGCACUGGUCAUUGUUGUAUAUAGUAGAAAGAGCUAAAUGUGUAGCCACCUCAUGUUGCCUUCUCUGUUAACCACACCCCACUCCACUCCACCCCAUGCAAAAG
rnacentral:lncRNA from 10 species